GGGCCCGCACAAGCGGAGGAGCAUGUGGUUUAAUUCGAUGAUACGCGAGGAACCUUACCAAGGCUUAAAUGUAAUAUGACCGGUUGAGAGAUCAACCUUUUUUCGAACAGAUUACAAGGUGCUGCAUGGUUGUCGUCAGCUCGUGCCGUGAGGUGUCGGGUUAAGUCCCAUAACGAGCGCAACCCCUAUUUUUAGUUACCAGCGAGUAAUGUCGGGAACUCUAGAAAAACUGCCUGUGCAAACAGAGAGGAAGGUGGGGAUGACGUCAAAUCAUCACGGCCCUUAUGUCUUGGGCUACACACGUGCUACAAUGGUUACUACAAUGUGAUGCCAUCUGGUGACAGAGAG
rnacentral:rRNA from 1 species